GUGCAAUGUGUCAAUACACCCUGACUCAGGAACCUGCCCUCUCAGCACCUCUUGGAGAACCAGUGAAACUCUCCUGCAGUAUUAGCAGUGGAUACUAUUUCGGUGACUUCCACUGGUACCAGCAAAAGCAAGGAGAAAGACCCAGGUUUCUCCUGUAUUAUAACACAACCACCCAAGAGACAAAAUUUGGCCCUGGAUCUUCUGGUCAUUUUUCUGCCUCCACAAACACCGCCAAGAAUCCUGCUUUCUUGACCAUCAGCAAUGUGCAGGGAAAGGAUGAAGGGGACUAUUAUUGUGCUGCUGGGAAACACA